GACGAACGCUGGCGGCGUGCCUAACACAUGCAAGUCGAACGAGGUCCAUCCGGUGGCAACACUGGGGAAGACCUAGUGGCGAACGGGUGAGUAACACGUGAGGAACCUGCCCCGAAGACCGGGAUAACCCUCCGAAAGGAGAGCUAAUACCGGAUACCCCCACCGGACCGCAUGAUCUGGUGAGGAAAUGGAUUCCGCUUCGGGAGGGCCUCGCGGCCUAUCAGCUUGUUGGUGGGGUAACGGCCCACCAAGGCUUCGACGGGUAGCUGGUCGGAGAGGACGAUCAGCCACACUGGGACUGAGACACGGCCCAGACUCCUACGGGAGGCAGCAGUGGGGAAUCUUGCGCAAUGGGCGAAAGCCUGACGCAGCAACGCCGCGUGGGGGAUGAAGGCUCUCGGGUUGCAAACCCCUUUCAGCAGGGACGAAUCUGACGGUACCUGCAGAAGAAGCCCCGGCCAACUACGUGCCAGCCGCCGCGGUAACAC
rnacentral:rRNA from 1 species